rnacentral:rRNA from 1 species
GACGAACGCUGGCGGCGUGCCUAAUACAUGCAAGUCGAACGCAUUUUCUUUCACCGUAGCUUGCUACACCGAAAGAAAAUGAGUGGCGAACGGGUGAGUAACACGUGGGUAACCUGCCCAUCAGCGGGGGAUAACACUUGGAAGCAGGUGCUAAUACCGCAUAAUUCCAUUUACCGCAUGGUAGAUGGGUGAAAGGCGCUUUUGCGUCACUGAUGGAUGGACCCGCGGUGCAUUAGCUAGUUGGUGGGGUAACGGCCUACCAAGGCUGCGAUGCAUAGCCGACCUGAGAGGGUGAUCGGCCACACUGGGACUGAGACACGGCCCAGACUCCUACGGGAGGCAGCAGUAGGGAAUCUUCGGCAAUGGACGCAAGUCUGACCGAGCAACGCCGCGUGAGUGAAGAAGGUUUUCGGAUCGUAAAACUCUGUUGUUAGAGAAGAACAAGGAUGAGAGUGGAAAGUUCACCCCUUGACGGUAUCUAACCAGAAAGCCACGGCUAACUACGUG